rnacentral:tRNA from 3 species
GCGGAUGUAGCCAAGUGGAUCAAGGCAGUGGAUUGUGAAUCCACCAUGC